GACAGCCAGGAUGUUGGCUUAGAAGCAGCCAUCAUUUAAAGAAAGCGUAAUAGCUCACUGGUCGAGUCGGCCUGCGCGGAAGAUGUAACGGGGCUAAACCAUGCACCGAAGCUGCGGCAGCGACACUAUGUGUUGUUGGGUAGGGGAGCGUUCUGUAAGCCUGCGAAGGUGUGCUGUGAGGCAUGCUGGAGGUAUCAGAAGUGCGAAUGCUGACAUAAGUAACGAUAAAGCGGGUGAAAAGCCCGCUCGCCGGAAGAC
rnacentral:rRNA from 1 species